CUUGAUGGUGCGUUUUAUAACGAUAAUAGGGAAUUAAGUGAAAAUCUUAAACAGUCCUUGCUGCCGUGAUGAAGUAGUUUAUUUAUAUUAUGCCACUGGAUUAUACUGGGAAGGCUUAAAUAAAUGUUGAUAUCUUAGUCGGAAUACCUGCCAAAAAUUUU
rnacentral:ncRNA from 1 species